GGACGGGUGAGUAAUGCCUAGGAAAUUGCCCUGAUGUGGGGGAUAACCAUUGGAAACGAUGGCUAAUACCGCAUGAUGCCUACGGGCCAAAGAGGGGGACCUUCGGGCCUCUCGCGUCAGGAUAUGCCUAGGUGGGAUUAGCUAGUUGGUGAGGUAAUGGCUCACCAAGGCGACGAUCCCUAGCUGGUCUGAGAGGAUGAUCAGCCACACUGGAACUGAGACACAGUCCAGACUCCUACGGGAGGCAGCAGUGGGGAAUAUUGCACAAUGGGCGCAAGCCUGAUGCAGCCAUGCCGCGUGUGUGAAGAAGGCCUUCGGGUUGUAAAGCACUUUCAGUCGUGAGGAAGGURGUGUAGUUAAUAGCUGCAUUAUUUGACGUUAGCGACAGAAGAAGCACCGGCUAACUCCGUGCCAGCAGCCGCGGUAAUACGGAGGGUGCGAGCGUUAAUCGGAAUUACUGGGCGUAAAGCGCAUGCAGGUGGUUUGUUAAGUCAGAUGUGAAAGCCCGGGGCUCAACCUCGGAAUAGCAUUUGAAACUGGCAGACUAGAGUACUGUAGAGGGGGGUAGAAUUUCAGGUGUAGCGGUGAAAUGCGUAGAGAUCUGAAGGAAUACCGGUGGCGAAGGCGGCCCCCUGGACAGAUACUGACACUCAGAUGCGAAAGCGUGGGGAGCAAACAGGAUUAGAUACCCUGGUAGUCCACGCCGUAAACGAUGUCUACUUGGAGGUUGUGGCCUUGAGCCGUGGCUUUCGGAGCUAACGCGUUAAGUAGACCGCCUGGGGAGUACKGUCGCAAGAUUAAAACUCAAAUGAAUUGACGGGGGCCCGCACAAGCGGUGGAGCAUGUGGUUUAAUUCGAUGCAACGCGAAGAACCUUACCUACUCUUGACAUCCAGAGAACUUUYCAGAGAUGRAUUGGUGCCUUCGGGAACUCUGAGACAGGUGCUGCAUGGCUGUCGUCAGCUCGUGUUGUGAAAUGUUGGGUUAAGUCCCGCAACGAGCGCAACCCUUAUCCUUGUUUGCCAGCGAGUAAUGUCGGGAACUCCAGGGAGACUGCCGGUGAUAAACCGGAGGAAGGUGGGGACGACGUCAAGUCAUCAUGGCCCUUACGAGUAGGGCUACACACGUGCUACAAUGGCGCAUACAGAGGGCAGCAAGCUAGCGAUAGUGAGCGAAUCCCAAAAAGUGCGUCGUAGUCCGGAUUGGAGUCUGCAACUCGACUCCAUGAAGUCGGAAUCGCUAGUAAUCGUGGAUCAGAAUGCCACGGUGAAUACGUUCCCGGGCCUUGUACACACCGCCCGUCACACCAUGGGAGUGGGCUGCAAAAGAAGUAGGUA
rnacentral:rRNA from 1 species